rnacentral:rRNA from 1 species
UACGUAGGGGGCAAGCGUUGUCCGGAAUUAUUGGGCGUAAAGGGCGUGUAGGCGGUCCGGUAAGUCAGCUGUGAAAGUCAAGGGCUCAACCCUUGAAAGCCGGUUGAUACUGUCGGGCUAGAGUCCGGAAGAGGCGAGUGGAAUUCCCGGUGUAGCGGUGAAAUGCGCAGAUAUCGGGAGGAACACCAAUGGCGAAGGCAGCUCGCUGGGACGGUACUGACGCUGAGACGCGAAAGCGUGGGGAGCAAACAGG